UCAUUUCAGUUACUACAACGAUUUCAAGACCUACGGACGUUCUACACGGCGUUGGUGGCGCGCGCUGCAAUUAAGUAACGGGACAGAGCGUUUAAAAAAAUACAAUAAAAAUACAACACUAACAAAAAAAGCUUAAUAUAAAAAUACAUAAUUCAGCUUAAAUACACAGAACAAUAUCAAAGCAAAUGUAAUAACUCAGCCGUAUUACACAACUCGACGACUCUCGCUCAUCGUAAUAAACAACGACGACCACAACAGCAACAGCAACACCAACAACCAUCAUUCAACAUAAUAAAUACGUUUGGUAUAUGCUCAAAUAAAUACAUCAAAUUGUGUUGUGAUAUCUAAAGCUAAAUGUACAUAAAAUAUAAUCUUAUAAUCGAGAUCGAACAUAGUCAAAGCCAAUAGACUGCCAAGAGCAAUAGAAGCAAUACAUAUGUAGAUAUAUAUAUAUAAACAUAUAAACAUACAUACAUACACACAUAGAGACAGAGAGAGAGAGAGAGAGAGAGAAAGAGAGAUGUAUCGUUAAGGUAUCAAGCAGCCACACACAUCUGUGCAUCCAUAUACAUAUAUGUAUAUAGUAUAUAUGCUGAGGAGACGCGUCUAGUUGCCAAUGCCCGAAAAGUCAACUGAAUGGGGCACACUUAGCAAACCGAAAAUAAAGCACACAAUUCUCAUUUGACACAGAGAAACAGUUUGAUAAAUAUAUUCAAUACAGCGUGCAAUACACAACAACAAAAAAA